AGAGUUUGAUCAUGGCUCAGAUUGAACGCUGGCGGCAGGCCUAACACAUGCAAGUCGAACGGUAACAGGAAACAGCUUGCUGUUUCGCUGACGAGUGGCGGACGGGUGAGUAAUGUCUGAAAACUGCCUGAUGGAGGGGGAUAACUACUGGAAACGGUAGCUAAUACCGCAUAACGUCGCAAGACCAAAGAGGGGGACCUUCGGGCCUCCUGCCAUCAGAUGUGCCCAGAUGGGAUUAGCUAGUAGGUGGGGUAACGGCUCACCUAGGCGACGAUCCCUAGCUGGUCUGAGAGGAUGACCAGCCACACUGGAACUGAGACACGGUCCAGACUCCUACGGGAGGCAGCAGUGGGGAAUAUUGCACAAUGGGCGCAAGCCUGAUGCAGCCAUGCCGCGUGUAUGAAGAAGGCCUUCGGGUUGUAAAGUACUUUCAGCGGGGAGGAAGGGAGUAAAGUUAAUACCUUUGCUCAUUGACGUUACCCGCAGAAGAAGCACCGGCUAACUCCGUGCCAGCAGCCGCGGUAAUACGGAGGGUGCAAGCGUUAAUCGGAAUUACUGGGCGUAAAGCGCACGCAGGCGGUUUGUUAAGUCAGAUGUGAAAUCCCCGGGCUCAACCUGGGAACUGCAUCUGAUACUGGCAAGCUUGAGUCUCGUAGAGGGGGGUAGAAUUCCAGGUGUAGCGGUGAAAUGCGUAGAGAUCUGGAGGAAUACCGGUGGCGAAGGCGGCCCCCUGGACGAAGACUGACGCUCAGGUGCGAAAGCGUGGGGAGCAAACAGGAUUAGAUACCCUGGUAGUCCACGCCGUAAACGAUGUCGACUUGGAGGUUGUGCCCUUGAGGCGUGGCUUCCGGAGCUAACGCGUUAAGUCGACCGCCUGGGGAGUACGGCCGCAAGGUUAAAACUCAAAUGAAUUGACGGGGGCCCGCACAAGCGGUGGAGCAUGUGGUUUAAUUCGAUGCAACGCGAAGAACCUUACCUGGUCUUGACAUCCACGGAAGUUUUCAGAGAUGAGAAUGUGCCUUCGGGAACCGUGAGACAGGUGCUGCAUGGCUGUCGUCAGCUCGUGUUGUGAAAUGUUGGGUUAAGUCCCGCAACGAGCGCAACCCUUAUCCUUUGUUGCCAGCGGUCCGGCCGGGAACUCAAAGGAGACUGCCAGUGAUAAACUGGAGGAAGGUGGGGAUGACGUCAAGUCAUCAUGGCCCUUACGACCAGGGCUACACACGUGCUACAAUGGCGCAUACAAAGAGAAGCGACCUCGCGAGAGCAAGCGGACCUCAUAAAGUGCGUCGUAGUCCGGAUUGGAGUCUGCAACUCGACUCCAUGAAGUCGGAAUCGCUAGUAAUCGUGGAUCAGAAUGCCACGGUGAAUACGUUCCCGGGCCUUGUACACACCGCCCGUCACACAUGGGAGUGGGUUGCAAAAGAAGUAGGUAGCUUAACCUUCGGGAGGGCGCUUACCACUUUGUGAUUCAUGACUGGGGUGAAGUCGCAACAAGGUAACCGUAGGGGAACC
rnacentral:rRNA from 1 species